rnacentral:lncRNA from 1 species
CAAAAGAUGGCAUUCUCAGUGGUUCUUCAUCCGGGGCCCUGAUACCCAUCAAAUUCCUGACUGGGUCGAAGCCUCCAAACCGAACGUUGCCACCAAGGAGUUAUCGUGGAGUCGACUCGAAGAAAUAGUGAAGACCAUCGAAAGAAUACCAACAGAAGAAUGGAAACCCGAACUCAUGAAUAGCCAGGCUUGGUUGUAUAACCAUAAAUGUAAAUCCCGAACCAAUCAAUUAAAUCGUAGUGUUUUAAAUUCCCUUUACUCAGUUUCUUACUUCUCGUAGUUGAAAGUAGUAUGUACGUAAGCCAGUCAUUUUUGAUAUGAUGUUGCAUAUACUUUGUAAUCUUUUUCGUUUAUUAAUAAAAGAAUUAAUUUAUUAAAAGACAUUUUACUUUAUCUACAUGGUGUUAUUAUAUUAAAUGUGAUAAACUCAUAGUUAUGAGCAAUGCUUUUAGAAUCAUGAUGAUGAUCAUGCUAAUGAGAUCUAAAUUCUAGAUAGCUCAUAAAUUAAAAUUGCUCCUAAUCGUUGGAUUACUAAAAAAGGGAUUAGUGAAUCCGGAUAAAUUGGUACAUACGUUGUUUGCUCUUAGGAAGAGGAUGAUUGAUCUCAUAAUCAUUUGGAUGAAUACACUAAAACAAUUGAAAUCAACUAUUCCAGAUUGUUAAAUCAACCAUUAGUUCAAUUUCACUUGAUGCUUUACUUAGAACGACACACUUCCUUUUAAUUCAAAUCAACUAUUCCAGAUUGUUAAUCAAGAACACGACAGUAGAUAUAACCAUCUCUCAAUGCAUUAUACACAUAUCAACUUAAAUCCACAAUUGAUAGAAUUAAGUAAAACACCCUAAUUAACUAAUCCACUAUAUUUGUGAAUUACAAUUAAAGAAGAUUUAAUCACAAGUUAUGAAACUACGUGUGAUGCGUAGGUAUAUUUCUAUCCUAAGCAUAAAUUAUGAGUCCCAUCAUCAUGCAGAAAUCACAAUCACACGCUACUAUGAUUAGGUCUAAACCCAUAUUCCAUCUCUAGAAUUUCAUAUGGGUUUUCAAGUAAUUGGUGAUCAAGCAAUUCAUUAAUUCAUUAAUUAAGCAUAAACCAUAGUAGACAAAUCAGAAAAUAGUCUCACUGAAUUAAUAUAGAAGCAUGUCAAUCUUCGUUACACAGAAAGAUCCAUUGUAGACUUAAAGAGUAAAUUAGUUCAUGAUAGAUGAAUAAGAAACUGAAAUCUACAAAGAUACUAGCAUUCUGAAUACAAAGAUAAUAAUAAAGAAAAAGAAUAGAAACUGUAAGAUCAACUGCUGCUCUUCUUCAAUCUCUUUUGCGUUCUUCGUGCUAAAACUCUGUUUCAAUCCUCCACCAAAAACGUGAUAAACAAAACUGGUUGUGUGUAUGAUCAUCAAUUGACACACCCUUAAUGUCCUCUAUUCCCCUGUAUUAACCUUCUCUGUCUUUCCAAAACGCGUCUCGAAUCCUCGCACAAAAAUCUCCAGAAUCAUAAUAGAAGAAGGAAAAUUUAAGUUGUUUGCCGCGUAUCUCUCCCAGGCUCACAUUUCCUCUAUGAAAUCUCGCCCUGGCGCACAUGUGCCCCGGCGAACAUUUACAAGGUAAAAUCUGCGCCCUGGCGCAGUUGUCUAAUUUGGGUCGACUUUUCUACUUUUGUACUGAUAGUCCUGUUCUCGCCCGCACAACCUGUCCCUGCACAUAAACAAUGAAAACAAAUAAAAAUGUUCCUAAAAGUACUCGAAGUAGCAAAGACUUGGGUUUGAAAAGUAAUAGAUUCACAGUUAUGAAACCCACUCAUCAGCGAGUGUUCUCCGGACAUGGUUCAAAGAAUCCUUUAUCUGUUGCAAUAUAGUGGUCCGAUCCGUAUUAGGUGGGGUGAACACCUUGUUGACCCUUUGGUUUGGGAAGGGUGCACGGUCUCCUCUCGAACCCCCGUUAUUAUAAUCCUUCUUUUAAUUAUCUGUUUUGCCAUUAUUGUCUGAUUGGGGAUUGUUGUUCUUGUCCCGAUCUCUCGGCUUCUCCACGAUGUUUGGUUUCAGACUGCCCAUUGCCUCUUCAAUCGCGAUGAACUCCUCGGCUAUGUCGUAGACCUUUGACAAAUCCUUCAAGAUGUUGAACAUCAAGUUCUUCACUAAUUUCCGAGACCUCACCACGUCUAGUCUGGAUCGGAAAUACCCGAGGGCUAGAUGCCCAUCUAAUUGCCUCACAUGUCCGACCCCUUCACGGAAUCUCUUCACGCACUGGCUAAGGGACUCAUCGAAAUACUACCGGAUUUAAACUAGAGAACCGAUAGUUUUCCCCUCCUUUUAUUGCUCCCGAAGUGGCUAUGGAACUGGUAACAUAGUUCCUUCCAUGAUGAGAUUGAGUUCAGCUUCAGCGAUGUCAUCCAAUGUCGAGUCUCCUUCCUCAAAGUUGUAAUAAAUAUUUGACAUUUGGAGGCGUCAGAAUAGUCAUAAUAUCUCAUCAGCAGGUCAUACACCUGCCUAUUCUCAUAUGGAUCUCCCGUUCCAUUAUAACUUUCCAUGUGUGGGGCCUUUAUAUGCGGAUCGUCCCGAACCCGAUCUAUCUCUGGAGAGAACGUUGAUGUUGGGUUAAUCUGUACCAAGGUUUCAAACAUAAGGGAAAUAGUAUUUUUAUCUGAAUACCUUCGGAGUCUCCUUCUGAUUGGGAACCGCUAGUCUCUUCUCCAGUUCUGCCAACCUCCGAACAAGUGCCUCGGUUUCGUUUUUCCCAGGGAUGACUCACCUAUCCCGGUCUCUGGAUUUUAGAGAGGCUUCUCGCUUUCUCUGUUUUGUCCUUCCUCUACUUCCAUUGUUUUCUUCCCAAGAGCGACUCAUACGCCUGCUUCUUUCCUGGUUCUUUGCCUGCUCCUCUCCUGAGAGGGGCUUUAGGACUUGCUCUUGUCCUGUCGAGAACUGUCCGAACAAUGUGUCCUGGAUCGAUUCUUGGGCGACGCCUCCCUACGUCGAUCACAUGUAGAAGACACCUCCUCUCCGUUCAGCAAUGCCAACUGUGCAUCCAACUCCUUUCGCUGAAUACGUACGGAGGGCUUCGGCGGCCUCCUCAUUCUCCCGAACCUUUUUGGCCAAUAUCAACAUCCUCCUCGACGCGACCCCCAUGUCUUUUCUCCUUCCUUGUUGUCGAGAACAACCGACGUUUGACUUCAGCCGCCUGAGUAUUCUUUCAACCCACUGAUUGAUUGCGGGGUCCGAGUCUGUCCAAGAUUUCUUUGGAUAGGCCCAAUCUGUCCUUGACCGAACCCUUGGGCUGAGCAGAUGGGUCGGCUGUUGAUUUUCCAUGUCCAGAAACCGUCUUACUUAUUGCCAUUACUCCUAAACAAAUUGUUUUGUGAUUGAAGAACUCCUAGCACUUAAACUGCCCUCCUUCUAGCGCCAAUGUUAACGUUAAGAUUCUUCCACGAGUCUCAAUCACCAAAGGUGCGUUCAAUCCUGCACAAGAACAAAAUUACUUGUGAAGCUUAACGACUUGGGCCGCCGGAGGAUAGCUCCAGUGUGAGAAUAAGUACAAAUUGAACAAGAUUUAACAAUGAAUGUAUUUAGUGCUAGAAAGUAAUAAUGUAUUGUGUGUACUUGAGAACCGAAGUUUAGCCUUGUAUUUAUAGUAAUCACACAUCCUCUACAUGUCCUUCUCCGUAUGCAAAUAGGAUUCCUCAUUAGGUCAGAUUUUUUAAUGGGAUCGAACUGAAUCUCUUUAAAGGAAGGAAGUAGGUAGGAGUGAGCAAAAAACGGAUAAAACCGAAUUACCGAACCGAACCGAAUUAUUUUAACCGAAUUAUUUCGGUUUUUCGUUUUUUUUUAAUUUCGGUUAUAUCCGAAUUAUUACUCGCUAUUCGGUUUCGGUUUUCAUGAAACAGGUUAUUCGGAUACCCGAAUAACCGAACUUUAAUACUUAAAAAAAUUAAUUUUAUAAUAUUAUCUAAUAUAACUAUCAGUGUAACAACCUAACAGGUUAUUUUCUCCCAUUUUGCUUUGCCCUAGUCUGCUCGACCGCUCCUACUUUCCCAGUCCCAGAGGCCAGAUCUCGAAUCUCGAUUCCUCAGGACCUCAGCUCUUGCAGUCUUGCAUCUCGAGUCUCGACUGUCCCUGUCUCAAUCUCCGGCGCGGCUCCGCCUCUCUGUCUGUCUCGCGACUCUCGCUGACUCGCUGUUGGU